CACCUCUCUGUCUCCGCUGCUCCGACGUUGAGAGGUGCCCCCCCCCCACUUUUUCCUACCCCCUCUCCUUCCGGGGUUAGAAGCCCAAGAAAGAGCGAUGGAUGGCGGCACUUUGGCCCAGCAGCCCCGGUGGGGGGGCUACUGCUCCAAUAGCUCCGCGCGGAGGAUAGAGCCGGUUGAGGCGCACCUCCCUCUCUGAAUCCCCCCCGGAGUCCUCUGCUGCGCUUGCUGAGAGGCCUCGCUCGCUGGAUCCCUUCCUUCGCUUCUUGUGCAACCUCUUCCCAGCCCGCUUCUCUUCCUGGGCUCCGCAGCCAAGUGCCUCCGGCUCCGCCAUGGCCACGAAUCUGGGAAGCCAUGCAGACGGAGGACGAGGAGCAAUGGCUCUACGGAGGGACACAGGACCUCAUCCUUUAAAAGACAUUCCCAAGGAGAGAAAGAUUGUCAGUGAUGAAGAAUGAGAAUUGUUACAGCAAACCCUUUCAGGUAGAGAAGACAACGAGGAAGACAGUGAUAGUGACAGUGACGACUACAUCCAAGUAAUGAUUGGCAACAUCACAACAAGAAGGCCAUCUUUCAUCUGCCCACUGAAGCCAAACCACAGUGCAAUUCAGCAGAAGCCUGUUCCAGCUGUCUGAUGCAGGCAUGAAGCCAAGUUGCAACCCAAAGGUAAUGAUUUAGAUGCUCCUGGGAAUAUAUAUGGCUUACCUGAAGCAGACAUGGAUUUGGAUUCAGCUGAUGACAAACCAUGGAGGAAACCAGCAUUGAACGAUGCAUGAGUGAGACCUCUGAUUACUGUAAGUAAAACAUUUAAACUUACUUAAGGUUGUGGUCUCUUCACUCCUAGAGGGGUAGAGGUGGGGGAGCACAAUUGUCAGUGCUUAAUACUGGUACAUUUAAAGGUCUAACAGCCUAUAUUGCCCAUCCUUUGCAAACAGUGCACAUAUAUUUUAGUUUUAAACUCUACUGGGGGCUCUUUGGGCUAGACAGUGAGUCAAGCUCUAUGCUUUUUUUGAAUUUAGGUAGUCAGCUAUUGGGAUUUCAGGAUUAACUGUUAUUCCCUAGUUAUUUUCCAACACCAUGUACAACAUACAUUGAGCUCCUUGGAGAAAAAACGUGGGAUAUAAAUGCAAUAAAUAAAUAAAAUUGUCGCAAGCAUAUUGGCUGUUGAAGUGCUCCCAAUUUACUAAUUAAAUAUAUUCAUGUGCUUGGGACAAACUUUCAGGAAGUAGUUUCCUAGCCCUGGCAAGACCGUUGGGAGAGACAACAGAAAGUGGUCUUUCCCCCUAUGAAUCUCUCUCAAAUUUGCCUUUGCCUGGUGUAGACUCAAAUAAGUGAAACAUUUUGCAGAGGAUAGCAGGGAUAAGGGAAAAGAGAGAGUGGGGAAAUUCUAUCAGAUGGUUGUGAAACUGGAUUUUUUAAGUGAAAAGUUAAAGAUGAGCCUCUUGGACAAUUGCUGGGUGGGAAACUUGGCUGGUCGAAUCAUUAAAAUCCCAGAACUAGAAUGGCACCAUUGUAUAAUAAACUGAAGCUCUGCUCUGAAUUUCCCCUCUCUUCACUGGAUUUAAGUGUGAAAGGUACAGACCAGGGAUCUAAGCAAGUUAAUUAACCUUGAAAGGCUGGUGAAAGGGUUAAAUUUGGUAGACAGUGUAACUGGUGAAACUCAUCUGCCAAAGCGUAGCGGUAUCAGAUAUGAUCUUGAAGUAGCUUGAACACAUUUUUAAAGCUUCCAGCUACUUUAAUUUAUGGAAGUCUUGACUAAAUCAAAAGACCCCCAGGAAUAUUUGCUCCUGAGGAGAAUGUUUCGCUGAUGUGUGUUGCAGAAAACAUUGCAGCAGCAGUGUUAUAACUGGAUAAUUGAUUAGGCGUCCAAGCUCUAAUCAUUACAUCAAAUCAACCAAACCUUUAGUUGACUAAUGAGGGGAAGCCAGUUUUAAUCAGUGGAACUUUUAAGGACAUACAUAUUUCCUUAUGCAGGCUGUUUUGGUUCUGGUGUGUUUCUAGACUAGAGGAUGAAAAAGCUGUAAUGAAAGCAAGAGGCUCAGGAAAGUUUGUUUCUGCCCUUCCUUGCACAACUGUCUUGUAGAGUAGGCCAGUUAUGGCUCAGCUAUCUGGUUUUUGCUGCCACCCCUCCUCCAUAACAUAAGUCAGGAGAGAGAUCUUGGGACCCUCACUCAAACACCUACGUGGGGAUUGCACAGAUGUCUUCUAAAAGUCAGAUAGGGAAAUGAAGAUGUCAACAGGACCCAAAAAGAACAAGGAAAACUAAAAGGAGCAUCUGUGGUUCUAAUUUAUCUCAUCCUAAACUUUCUACUUGGGAUCAGGUGAGUAGCAAGGAUGGUCAGUUGCAGGAUUAUCUGAUGGGGGUGGGAUGGAUCCUGAUGUGAGAGAACAAAGGCUACAUAGCACAGUCCAUUUAUAAGGGGCUCAGGACCCCCAUUUGGCAGGCAGUUUCCAGCAAAUCAGACGUCUGGCAUACUUGCCAGGCAAAGAUUAACACUCCACUGAGAUCAGAUGAAGGUGGACAGUUACUGCCCAGAUUCCUACCCCCACCCCAAUCUUUCUGUGACACAGUCUGAAUCAUUUUGUUGACGUAGGUUGUGUUUUGGCUCCCGCAAGGCAAAUGGAGCAGCAAGAAACCAGGCUUUUCCCUCACAGAAGCAAAUUUUAGAGAUGGCUUUUCCUUGUGACACUGACUGAUUGGUUUGUCUUUCACUUCCUAACUUAUAUCAGAAAGACAUCUAAAUUGGGGCUAUGCUAGUGUACAAAAUAUAUUCAAGUGUAGUUGGCUAUUACCAAUUCCUUAAAUCAGUUGGCAGCCCUGGCGUUUUACAUUGCAGCUUGGAUUUUCUCCCUUCCUUUUUAACUGAACAACACCAAAAAUAUAAUUCUGGCACAAUAAUAGAUCAGGCAAUGCUGUGAAACUGAAAUGCUAUUUAAUUCCUUCUGUGUGAUUUGCUUAUAUAAGAGAAGUUAGAUACUUUAGGCAUUGAUUUCUAUAGUCAAACAUUAGGAUGGCAAUGUUCACAUGCUGAUGAUCCCAGACUGAUUUGGUUAAUGCCC